GGAAGAAUCAUUGUUGGAAGUAUUAUCUUGUGCACAAGUACAUAACAUUGAGCUCCUUUGAUGACAAAUAAUGGUGUAUUUUUAUGAAAAUGUACGCUCACUAAAACUGUUAAUCUUUGAAAGCAAUUCGCCAGAAAGAUGUUAUUCCAAAAUAAUGUAACUGAUAACGUCAAAUGAUGAUUAAUAGCACCUGUGACAGUCGGACAUACAGCUCUUAAAGAUGCUGGAACAAAUAAAACAGGCGCUGCAGCUCUUUAUACUUUUGGGAAAGAAAGGUCAAUAUCAAGGAGGACUUUUGGUUCUACUCUGGGCUGAACCAGGAGCUGCAAACUGCACUGUUGCUGCUGCAGGCUCUAAGUGGAGAAGAAUCCAACUGGAAACCUUCCAAAAUGUUCUCACAGAUGUGAAGUUUUCCUGCAGUGGAACAAUUCCUGAGCCUGACCCAGAGGAGCUGCGUGCUUUCACCGACGUGCAUGGCUCCCUGAAACUACUGCUAUCCUUUCAGGUAAAGGAUUUAAGAUUCCUCAGUCCACAGUGGCCUGCCCAUAUCAAAGCUUUCCUGAGCCUAUUUAGUCUGGUCAAUGCAGGGACUAGAGUGCACCUGCGAUGCAAAUUCCCUCAGACCGUCAAGGAAGAAUUUAGAGCAAACUUCACAAGGAGACUUACACUGGCAAUGGGACCGACACUUAUGUUGGACGUCACUUGCAGUUCCCUCCCAGUAGCGGACAAUCCAGUUCAUGUGAAGUUCGGCAACAAGUUGGUGAAAAAAGGAAGCUGGUGUCCUGGAGGCCACCCUGUCCUUGGCAGUAUAUUGCCUCUUAGAAUCCCACCUGAGACCAUGGACAACGGCCUAUACGGCGAACUCAACAUGCAGCUUGUGGCUCUGCUGUCACCUUGUGUGCUACAAUACCCCAAUCUAGAAACCCUUCUUACACAUGUAGAAGUGUUGACUUACCCACCGUCUCGUGUUCCAAUGACAUUCCCCUCAGCCUUCUUCCGAAACCUCUUUGCACAUCUGGAUUCCCAGGAAUUUGGGGAGCUAAUUCUUCGCUGCCUCUCCUCCACAGAUCGUUCACAAGAAGGGAGCAUUGUGUUUGCUGUGGAGGACAAAACCUGUCAAGAACCUGAGAAAAGAUUACAGUUGAACCCUGUAAAACAGAAACUCUUGAUAUUCCUCUUUUUACAGCACACUGACCCAUUUAUCUCACAGCUUUCAGACUUUAUGGAUACUGAAGCUUUGAUCGAGCGCCACCUAGAGGACAUUCUGAAUAAAAACAGGCAGGCAGUCACAGGAGCUCUGCACACUGAGUUGAGUAACACCUGGAAGGCUCAAGUCCGCAAAAAAAAAGAACCAAGAGAAGCUGCUUUCGGCUGCCAAGGUCAUUCUCAGCGCCUCUAUCAAUGUUGUGAGCAGCAGCACCAACUUGAACUUCAGACUAGCCUGCCUGAAUCGCAUGCAGGUGAGCAAUACUCAUGAACUGGGGACCUCUCUCCGUGAAGCUUUGCUUAGGGUGACAUCAUGGAGAUGCGUCCCCAGGAAAACGUGCUACUCUGCUCAGGUAGAAGAACAACUGGAAAAUGCUCAGGACACCAGAGAAGAAAACUGACUGAUUGUGUUUAAAAAAUGUUUGCUCUUGGUUGAAUUCUAAAGAAGUCAUGUUCAAAAGAAUAGUUUAUACUAUCUGCUUCUUGAAAAUGUACUGGAACCAAAAUAUGUUGAACCGUUAUAUUGCAGCGUGUUUCAAUGUUUUAGGCUUCAAAUCCAAAUUGAGCAAAAACCCUUUAAACCUUAUACAACAUGUCAAUAUGGACAAUAAAUUGACAUUUAUUAGUAAAUUUCACAUUAAAAGUUAACUUGGCCUGAAUAAAGUCCUGACUGUUU